AGGGGUAUUCCAUGAAGACAGACAGAGGUGUCAGCAGAGAGCACUGUUGUCAGACAGAAAAGAACAACUCAACUUCAGCAGCUCAUAAGUACUGGUCUUGUAAUAUUUUCUCCUUAACAAGAAGGCUAGGCCUAGCUGAUCAGGAAUCAUUGACCAUACUUUCAGCAUAUGUGCAACAUUAGCAACAGGCAGGCAGCUGAAGCGGCGAAAGCGAGGUACAGAUGAAUGCAGAUCAUACUAUUAUUUGGAACCAUGGAUAAAUCCUUACAGGAGCUGUAGACACAAAACAGCAGGAAAUUUCUGAUCAAGACUAUUUGUAAAAAAUUCAUUCGUAUUUCAGUUGCAUUGAAGCAAUAAAAUAAAUAAAUACAAA